GUUUUAUUAUUAGUUGUUAAUAUCUUACUGUGCCUAAUUUAUAAGUUACACUUUAUCAUAAUUACAUAUGUAUAGGAAAAAACUGAAAUUAAAAUGAUGAGUUGGCCUUCUAUUAUCUGUGGGUUCCUUAUCCCUGGAUUCAAUCAACUGCAAAUCAAAAAUAUAUUUUUCUUUAAAAAUGGAUGGUUGCAUCUGUAUUGAACAUGUACAGACUUUUUCUUGCUCUUAUUUCUUAAACAAUACAGUAUAACAGCUAUUUCCAUAGCAAUUACAUUGUAUUAGGUAUUAUAAGUGAUCUAGUGAUGAUUAAGUAUACAGAAGAAUGUGCAUAGGUUAUAUGCAAAUACUGUACUAUUUUAUAUCAGACACUUGAACCUCCACGGACUUUAGUGUCGGCAGUUUCUCCUGGAACCAAUCCCUAGUGGAUACUGAGGGACAAUUGUGUUGACUUUUUUCAGAUCAUGAUGUAUAAUCACUGGAUUCCAUCUGAUUUUUCUCUUUUUGCUUAAUUUUACAAAUGAGGGAAACUGAACCCCUAGGUCUUAUUGAAGUUCACACAAUCAGUUGGUAUCAAAGUCAGAAUAAAAUACAGAUUUCACUUGAAGUAUUAAAAUCUCAGUCUUCAGGUUUCCAGUUUGAUGACUGCUAUAAAGUGCUCUAAAAUUUUGGAGAAAUAAUCAGGGAAAAAAGUUAGAAUUCUACCUGCAGAAGUGCUCCACUCAGAUGUCAGCCUCUCAUAAAUGAUGAAAGAGGAACUGAAAUCAAGGUGAUGAGACUUUUCCCUUGGGCCUAGGUUACAGCUAAAGAAAACCAUAACCUCAUCAGUUGUGUUGUGACCUGAACAAUUAAAGAAAGGCCCUGGGCAGGCGUGGUGGUUCACACCUGUAAUUCCAGCACUUUGGGAGGCCGAGGCAGGUGGAUCAUGAGGUCAGGAGUUCGAGACCAGGCUGACCAACAUGGUGAAACCCCGUCUCUACUAAAAAUACAAAAAUGAGCCAGGCAUAGUGGCACAUGCCUGUAAUCCCAGCUACUCAGGAGGCUGAGGCAGGAGAAUCACUUGAACCCGGGAGGUUGAGGUCGCAGUGAGCCAAGAUUGUGCCACUGCACUCCAGCCUGGGCAACAGAGCAAGACGCCAUCAGAAAGAAAGAAAGAGAGAAAGACAGAAAGGAAGGAAAGAAGGAAAGAAAGAAAGGAAGAAAGGAAGGAAAGAAGAAAGGAAGAAAAGAAGGAAAGGAGGAAAGAGAAAGGCCCUACUUAUUGAAGGAUAGUGACCUCUCUGGAAUCUAGAAUAAGGGGAACAAGUGGCCAGAGGCUGCCAGGAUGUGCACACUCCUUGGGAAGAAGGGUAGAAUUCUAGGUCUAAAUGAUCCACCCUGGAUUUUCAGACAUCAUUAUCCCUGGAGUAGAGAAAAGGCACCCACCAGGCCCUCCACAAACUUGGCUGGAAAUAUUUCCAGAUAAUAUCCUAUUUUCCCUUACUGUUACUCUUUCUCUACUAGACAACCCUCUGGCCUAUGACAUGGACUUUCUCACCUGGAGGAAAUGUCUUAUGCAGCUAACCAGCUGCAGGGUCUCAAGUCAACCUAAAUUAAUAAAAAAUAAUUGCUAAUAGCAAACACAUACAAAGCACUAUGAGCCAGAUGCUGUUCCUUACACAUUUGAGCCUAUUUGAGACUUACAGCAACUUCAAGUUUAGUCCAAUGAAUUACUCUUAUUUACAGCUGAGGAAACUGUUACUCAAAGAGGCAAGUAUUUUGGCCAAGAUGACAGUUCUGAGAUUCAGCCCAGACAGUGUGUGUGCUUAAUUGCUAUGUUCUGCUGCGGCUGAUAAAUAGAUAUUCUCGUUCCACUUUAUUCGUCUAAGGUGUGGUUACUGAAGAUAAGUUCUCCCAGUCUGACAAGAUGAACAUGAACUGAUAAAACUUCUGCAUUGUCCAUGUAGAGAACUAGUUUACAGAACUCUCAGUGGACAAGUGGGGAUUUGGAUUAUUUGAACCCAGUCCAACUCUAGAGCCGCACUAUUGACCAUUGUACAGUAUCACUAUUACCAUUUAUUUAUUCAAUCAACAAAUAUGUAUUAAGCUCCCAUGUCAGGCAUUAAGUGCUGGGGAAAGAGGAAAGAAGAAAAUAGCCAUAGUUCUUGCCUUCAUAAAACGUGGCAGAGGGAGAGAGACAGGCACUGAACAGCUAAACACAUAAAUAACUAUGUUGUUAUCACGAUGAUAAGUGCUGAAAAGGCCAGCUACAGACGACAGGCAUUGUGAGAGCAUAUAACAAGUGGCCUUGAUCUACAUUGAGGGUUAGGGAAUGCCUCUCUGAGAAAGAAACAUUUAGACAAAAACCUUAAAAAUAAAUGCAAUCCCAGCACUUUGGGAGGCCAAGGCAGGCAGAUCACCUGAGGUCAGGAGUUCAAGACCAGCCUGACCAACAUGGAGAAACCCCAUCUCUACUAAAAAUACAAAAUUAGCCGGGCAUAGUGGUGCAUACCUGUAAUCCCAGCUACUCGGGAGGCUAAGGUGGGAGAAUUGCUUGAACCCAGGAGGCGGAGGUUGCGGUGAGCCAAGGUCACAUCAUUGCCCUCCAGCCUGGGCAACAGGAGCAAAACUCCAUCUCAAAAAAAAAAAAAAAAAGAAUGCAAAUUGUCCAGGCAGAGAGGGCAGAAAGCAUUCCAAGCAGAGGAAACAGCCUGUGCAAAGGCCCUGAAGCUUUAAAAAGUCAGGUGCGACCCACAGACAGAGAAAACAACAUGGAUGUGUUGAGAUGAGGAAUUUGUCAUCUGUGAUCCUGCAGAUGCAAGAACAGGGCAUAUCAUGCCCCAUCUGAGGAGUCCUGCUGAGGAGGUAAGCCUUUAUCCUUCCUAAAACAAGAGGAAAACAGAAAUGAGAUUUAAGUGGGAAAACAACAUGAUCACUCAUGAGGAUUUGCCAGGAUCAAUCCACCAGUCUCCCUCUUUGAAUCCUCUUUAGCAACAAAAUGCUUACAAAUUUGAAAGAAUUUUCAGUACUAUUUUUAAUCACCUUAUCCUCUCUCUAGUAAGAGACAGAAAUAGUUACAAACUAUAGUGGUGCUAUGGCUUGCCAUCAAAAUCUCACUUUCAUAAUGAGACAUCCCUCAGCUCUGGGAGUGCUUGCCACCUGCACACGAUCCUCGUGUCAGCCCUCUUCAGAAACUUCCAUGGCUAAAGAAAGCUGCCAUGCCCAGGGGCAGCCUGAAUACAUUCUACAGGUAUAAAGGCUUGGCCUGUCUACCAACUUAGGACAACUGUGAGCUUCAGAGCAUCUGAACCCUCUGUGGGAUCAGCUGAAGUCUUUGUUAUAAUGGCAUCUGAUGUACCCCAAUGCAAUUUGGCCAGUAACAAUCCAGAGUUACCUCCAAUCCCACAAGUUAAGGCCACAGUCCCAAGCAAGACUGAAGAUGUCCCCACUCCAGACACCAUCCAUAAGUUCAGGGGUCUGCAGGCCACCAGCACUCCGGCCCAACUGGCUACAAAUUCAGAGUUUCUCACAAUUCCAUCAUAUUUGAUAAUUUACUAGAAUAACUUAUAAAACUCAGGAAAGCACUAUACUUAUGGUUGCUGUUUUAUUAUAAAGGAAACAAAUCAGAGCGUCUGUGUCCUCUCCCCAUGGAAUUAGAACAUGUGACCCUCCCUCACAUCCAUGUCCUUACAAACUAGGAUGUUCCACUGAGCUUCAGUGUCUGCAGUUUUUAUUGGGGUUUCAUUAUGUAGCCAUGAUUGAUUGACUGAAUCAUUGGCUCCAUGAUUCAACUCAAUUUCCAGCCUCCUUUCCCUGCUUAAAGGUCAAGAGAUUGGGCUGAUAACAUGUGGCUCAAAGCUUCAACCCUUUAAUCACAUGGUUGGUCUUUCUGGGAUGACCAGUUCCCAUCCUGAGUUAUCUCCUUAGCACUAAUUCAGAUGUCGUCCAAGGGCCCAACAUAAAGAGAGUAACUCUUUAGGGAAUAAAGGGAAUACAUAAACCUAAAGAGAAUAAAGGGAAUACAUAAAGAGAAUAAAGGGAAUAUAUAAACCAGGAUACACAAACCAGGAAGUCACUGCAUAUUCACUAAAGAGAGCAACAAAGAUACUCUUAUGACUUGGGAGACCCCAAGGAUUUAAAAUGAACCAAUCCCGUGAACCAGGGAUAAAGGCCAGUCAAAUUCAUUGUCAUGCAACAGCAUCACAGUCAACUUUUCCUUAUCUGAUUCUACUUUUAUCUUUUCUUUCCACUGAUAUUGAUCCUAAAUGUACUUCUUAAUAAACAUUCUAAAUGCUAAUCUUUGCCUCAGAGUCUAGUUUUCAUGGAAGCCGACCUAAAAGAUUUGGUGCCAGAAGUGGUGCCAGAAAGAAAGCAGACAUUAUGAUUGGAUUUUGGAGUUGGUCACCCAUUGCUGGCUGGCAAUGAAUCUGUGGUGGAGGUAGGACACAAGGAAGCAGGGCAAUUGUUAAAACUUUCACCUGUAGCUUACUGGGAAAAAAGCAUGUGGUGUACUGCAAAAGGCAUGCAGUUCUCACAUAUGGGGGAACUGGUAACUAUAAGCUCCCUAGAAUUUGAUGGCUAUUGCUAAGUAGAAUUAAUAUUUUGGGGAGAGAUAAUGAAAGGCUGGAAGUUAUUUAUCUGCAAUUCAAAACUAAGCAUGAAAACCAGAAAUCCUAUGAGGGAGCAUAUAAAAAGGUUUUCAUUUCUUGCAGUGGAAAGGCAGAGAAAACUGAAAGGCAGUUCCAGGACUUAAACAUAAUAGUAGCAGAAAAUUAAGUGGAAACUUCCAAAGAAGAUUAAACUCUCCACUUAGGCAAUUGUGAUAUACCAAGGUUAGGACCCUGGAUGGGAAAUAGUGGGACUCUGACACAUGGGUGGGGACAUCUGGGUUGAUGUACUUGAAAAAUUUUGAAUCCCUAGAUUCCCCUCAACCCACUGAGUCUGCCAAAGUACUCUACUUUUCUGUAUUAAAAGCUCGUGUUCCUCUCUUGUAAAAUGAUGCAGAGGUUUCCUCUCUGCAGAAUAACGUCUACCACCCUUUUCAGGAUACAUAAACCAGGAAGUCACUGCAUAUGAUAUUCCAGGGACAUCACUACAUAUGAUAUAAGUAUAUCAUAAGCAUCCAUCUUUGGCUUAAUUUGGUUGUUCAGAUUGAGAACUUCCUUUGACGUUUGUCCAUUUAUUUUCCUCCAGAUGCCUUAUUUAAUUUAUUGUCUCCAAAACUUCUGUAAGUAAAGUUCCUUUGACUGCCAUUUCUUACAGUGGGAAGGCAGAAAAAAGUAUAUGAUAUAAGUAUCACAUGAUACAAGGUCAUAUCACUACAUAUGAUAUUCCAAGAACAUCUGAUACGGUGUGGCUGUGUCCUAACCCAAAUCUCAUCUUGAAUUGGUGUUCCCAUAAUUUCCAUGUGUCUUGGGAGAAACCUGGUCGGGGGGUAAUUGAAUCAUGGGGAUGAGUCUUUCCCAUUCUGUUCUACUGAUAGUGAGUAAGUCUCAGGAGAUCUGAUGGUUUUAUAAAGGGGAGUCCCCUGCACAUGCUCUCUUGCCUGCCACCAUGUAAGAUGUGCCUUUGCUCCUCCUUUGCCUUCUGCCAUGAUUGUGAGGCCUCCCCAGCCAUGUGGAACUGUGAGUCCAUUAAACCUCUUUCCUUUAUAAAUUACCAAGUCUUGGGUAUGUCUUUAUUAGCAGCGUGGGAACAGACUAAUACAUCAGAGGACACAUAAUAUUGGCAUACAAUCCUACUCAAAGAAGCUGUAGGACCCAGCCAACAGGUACCAGCAGGAACCAGAGGAGUUGGCACAGGACCAAAUUCUUUUUUUUUUUUUUUUUUUUGAGACAGAGUUUCGCUCUUGUUGCCCAGACUGGAGUGCAAUGGCGUGAUCUUGGCUCACUGCAACCUCCACCUCCUGGAUUCAAGUGAUUCUCCUGCCUCAGCCUCCUGAGUAGCUGGGAUUACAGGCAUGUGCCACCACGCCCAGCUAAUUUUGUAUUUUUAGUAGAGAUGGGGUUUCUCCAUGUUGGUCAGGCUGGUCUUGAACUCCCAACCUCAGGUGAUCUGCCCGCCUCAGCCUCCCAAAGUGCUGAGAUUACAGGCGUGAGCCACCACGUCUGGCCAAGGACCGAAUUCUGAAGGUUAUGAAUGUCAGGGUGGGGAGGUGGAGCAUACAGUUAGAUAAGGGAGAAUUUAUCAAGUUGGUAAUACUCUCCUAGCAUACAAGAUUUAACACUCAUGCAAGGAUCCUGGGUGAUAGUGUGAACACACUUAGGAUGUCAUCUAGAAGCACAGAGAAAUCAAUGGCUCACAGUACACCUGGUUACAUAGAGAUGCCAAAACUGCUUUGGUUUACAUUGUAAGGAGGGACUAAAUGGCUCAAAGAAGUGAGCUUGCUAGAGUGAAUAUACUUAUAUAAAAAUGGAAAACCCAACAGAUGAAUAUAUUUCAAAGGAAAGUUCAGAGUAUACACCACUUACCAAAUCAAUAAGGCAUUAUCUGGUUAGAGAGGAAUCAGCAUCACUCUAAGACUCAGCAGUGGUUCUCCCUGUAGUCCAGGGUGAAGACAGAAGAUACCAUUUCAGAACUGGGUUCACUGAGAACAGUAGAGAUGAUGGAACCUUGUAACACUGAAGUGACAUGAUGGCACUCAAACUUCAACAGCCAAAUGGACACUGCAAGGCAAGAGCGGCAGUCCAGGGGGCUUUACCCACAGAUGUUUUGGAGAUGACAAAUAAGCCAUCUGGAGCAAAAGAAAUGGGCAACCAUCAAAGAAAGUCUUCAAUCUGAACAACCAAAUUAAGCCAACAAUGGAUGAUCAAGAGGUUAAAGGCUGAUGCUCUGAUACAAAGUCAUGAUCACUUGCCCAGUUUCUGGACUUGAACCAGUUUUUGGACCUAGAAUAUAUUUAAUUGGAGGGAGAGGGCAUGUCCCUAGAAGAAAGAACUCUGCAGCACCAGCACAAGUGUACACAGUAAUAAUUCCCCAAGUCCUUCCCUCAAGUGAUCUAUAGCCAUUUACUUAGGUGGCCAUACACUGGAGAAAAGGGAAUAUCUAACGAUUUCAAGGACAUCAUGGACACAGUGUGUAAAAUGACAUUGAUACCAAGAGACUCAGAGUUUCAUUAUUGGCCCUUUCUUAGCAUGGAGAUAUAUGGAAAUCGAGACUGGAUGUCUGGCCCAGGUCCAGCUCAUGGUAAGUCUACAGCGUUCUCAAACUACUUGCUAUGCCCCCAGUAUACAAACAUACACAUAGAAUAAACAUCAUUAGUAGUUUGUGCGACCCCCAUAUUAAAUUCUGGAUCUGUAAGGGGUAAGAGCUAUCAUACUGGGGAAUUCCAAGUGGAAGUUUAGGAAGUUGCACACACUUCCCAUCCCCUGAAAACUCAGCCAAGAUACUAAACAAAAAACAGCCCAGGGUGGAAUUAUCAGUUUCAGCUCUGGCGUGUAAAGAGCUUGGAAGUUACUGCUCCCUUUCUUACAAGAAGAAUAGCUGAACAAACUGAAAACCAAUGGCUUUUCUUAGAGCCAUUAGAGAACCAGGUUGCAGGGUAAAUUGCCAUGCUGAAAUCUGAAGAGAUGUGCAAGUUCAAAGAGUCACAGCAGAGGUCUGCUUACUUUGAGCAGAAGCAACCAGAACCAUAAAUUGGUAGAAACACUUAAGUGGUUACUUUGACAAAUUUCUAGAGUCUGAGUAUGAACUGUCGAUGAUGAGAAACUCCUGGGUAUUUUGAUGUUAGGGAGACCCCCAGACUUUAAUGGGUUUUCCUCCAGAAACCCACUCAGUUUGCACAAUGAAAAGCUAAGAAAGAUGUCCCCGUGGCUCAGGCAGAGAAAGAGAAGAGUAACCAUUGUAAAGCAUGCCCAGAACAUUGUCCAUAUAGAAGUCCUACUUUUCAGGGAAAAGACUUUAUGGGAGCCUUAUCCCAACUUGGAAAUGGGCAUUUCACCUGCACCCAGCCCACUAGCCUUAUUGUCUACCUAAGGAAAUUUUAAAAAGCUAACAAACAUUCAUGAAGGUCACAGCUCAGGGACAUAGGCCUAUUAAAAGACUAAGAUUUAAUUACAGGAUUACAAAAGAGGCCAGGCACAGUGCCUCACACCUGUAAUUCCAGCACUUUGGAAAGCCAAGGUGGGCAGAUCACUUGAGCCCAGGAGUUCAAGAGCAGCCUGGGCAACAUGGUGAAACCCUAUCUCUAUGAAAAAUACAAAAAUUAGCCAGCAUGGUGGCAGGCGCCUAUAGUUCCAGCUACUCAGCAGAGAAGCAGGGGUGGGUGUGAGCACUGAGGCAGGAGAAUUGCUUAAGCCUGGGAUGCAGAGGAUGCAGUCAGCUGAGAUUGCACCGCGGCACUCCAGCCUGGGUGACAGUGAGACCCUGUCUCAAAAAAAAAAAAAAAAAUUACAAAACACUUUCCCUUCCCACUCCUUUCUACCACACCAACAUAACUCUAGUAUAACAGCAGUGGAUUACAGCUGGAAAAGGUCCAAGACACAGACUCUAACUAAUGCUUCAUUCUUAGAGAAUCCCAAAGUCAACAGGGGAGACUAGAGAACACUAAUGGAAUUUGAAACCUCUAGCCCCUCUAGCUAUAGCAAACAUUAAACACAGUUCAACUUCUAGCCAGAUUAACAUAAAACCUCACACUAAAUGCCUAUUUACUUCGGUUCCUAUUACCCAAUGCAUCACAGUAGAUUUCAACAGAAAAUUGCAAGGCAUACUAAAAGACAAGAGAAAACAUAGUCUGAAGAGACAAAGCAAGCAUUCGAAUCAGGCUGAGAUACGACAUAGAUUUUGGAGUUAUCAGACAGGAAAUUUAAAAUAACUAUGAUUAAUGUGUAAAGGACUCUGAUGAAAAAAGUAGACAGCAUGCAAGAGCAAAUAGGUAAUAUAAGAUAGAUGAAAAAAUAAAAAAGAAAUCCUAGGAAUAAAAAAUAUUAUAACAUAAAUGAAGAUUGCCUGUGAUGGGCUCAUUAAUAGAUUGGACAUGACCAAGGAAAGAAACCAUGAGCUUGAAAAUAGUUCAACAGAAACUUCCCAAACUGAUAUGCAAACAGAAAAAAUAAUUGAGACCAGAACAGAACAUACAAGAACUUUGGGACAUUUCAAAAGUGUAACUAUGUGUAAUUCGUACCAGAAGAAGAAGACAGACAAAAAAGAUCAGAAGAAAUAUUUGAAAUAAUAAUGGUAAAAAAAUUUUCAAAAUUAAUGACAGACAUACAACCACAAUCCAGGAAGCUGAGGAUGGAUCAAACAGGAUAAAUACCAAAAGGAUAUUUGCAUACAACUAUGCAACAGGAUAUGCAAACAGGAUAUGCAUACAACUAGGCAUAUCAUACUCAAACUGCAACAAAGCAAAGAUAAAGAGAAAAUAUUUAAAGAAGUGAAAGAAAAAUUUUUUUUACCUACAUAGAAACAAUGAUAAUAAUCACAGUGGACUUCUCAUCAGAAAACUGCCAGGCAUAGUGACUCAUGCCUAUAAUUCCAGCACUUUUGGAGGCCGAGGGUUGGGGACCACUUGGGCCCUCCACGGUAGUUCAAGAGCAGCUUGGGCAACAUAGCAAGACCCAGUUUCUAUCUGGAAAAAAAAAAAAAAAGAAAGAAAAGAAAAGAAAAAAAAAAAAGAAACCAACCAAGCAAGAAAAGAAUGGAGUAAACUAUUUAAAAUGCAUCAAGCUAUAAUUUUAGGUACAGAAAAAUUAUCCUUUAAAAGUGAAAGAGAAGUAAAUUUUUAGUCAACAAAAAAUGAGAGAAUUCAUGGCAAGCAGAACUGCAUGCAAAAAAUAUUAAAAUAAGUUCUUCAAGGAAAAAGAAAUUAUUUAAGUCAGAAACUUAGACCUACAUAAAGGGAGAGCAUUGAAGGAAUAAAUGAAGGUAAAAUAAAAUCUUUUAUUUUUUUCAUUCUUAAUUGAUCUGACAGAUAACUGUUUAAAGUAAGAGUAACAAUGUCUUGGGAGAUUAGAGCAUAGAGACAAGUGAAAUGAAUGGCACCAAUGUAAUGAGGGAUGGGAGGAAGUGGAGUUAUUCUGUUGUAAGUUACCUACACUACACCUGGAGCAGUAUAAUGUUAUUUGAGGAUGGACAUAGAUUAGGUUAAAAUAGAUAUUGAAAACUCUAGGAGGUCAGGUUGGGGAAAAUGGUGGAGCAGGAAGCAGGAAUAAUCUGUCUCUCCAUGCAGGUAAUACUGGCAGAAUCUGUCUUACUUAACUCCUUCUGGAGUCUAUAGAAGGCUUGCAACUUCUAGAGGAAGGUUUGGAAUAUAAGUUGUGGUUAAUUUCUGUCAAUUUCAGCACUUAGCAUAGUAGCAACUACCCAUCCCUCACCACACAUCUACAAGGCAGGCAGCAGUGCAUAGGUUCCUGAAGCAGCUUACAAACAUUUUGGGGGGUUGAGCAAAAAGGACUCUGUCCUUCAAAUAUUAGUACUCUGUGCUUGAUCGCUGAAUUUUUUUUUUUUUUUUACAGAGUCUCACUCUCUCAUCCAGGCUGGAGUGCAUUGGUGCAAUCUCAACUCACUGCAGCCUCUGCCUCCUGGGUUCAAGCAAUUCUCCUGCCUCAGCCUCCCGAGUACCUGGGAUUACAGGCACCUGCCACCACACCUGGCUGAUUUUUGUAUUUUUAGUAGAGAUGGGGUUUCACCAUGUUGGCCCAGGCUGGUCUUGAACUGCUGGCCUCAAGUGAUACGUCUAGAAAGUGCCAGGAUUACAUGCGUCAGCCACCACGCCUGGCCCUGAAUGUCACUUCUGAACACAAAAGAUCAGAGAGAUACAAAGGGGUGAGUGGCCAUUAUUGUUGCACCUACCCUCAGUUGUUGCAAACUCCUCCAGCUCAAGUGACUUUGCGGGAUUUAAAAAGCCAGCACCUUUCGCUCCCUGCUUCAUUUUUUCUUUUUCUCUUUUCUGGACCCAGAGAUAAAAAACAAUGACAUUAAAAACAACACAUAUAGGAAAACUUAUAAAGUGACUAAACAUGACCAGAGUAAGGCCCAGAAAAAAACCUGAGAAGACCUUAAGUUUACACGUCAGUCUGGCUCUUGGCCCAGAGACAAACUACAACAAUUAAAAAUAAAUAAAGAAAAACAAUAACAAAACCAGCAAACCUUGGGAAGAAGGAGAAUCUUAUUUCCAGAGUUAUCACAUUAUUGUAUUCAAAUGUUUGCUUUUCAAUGACAAAAAAAAAUCAUAAAGCAUAUAAGGAAACAGGAAAAUAUGGCCUAGUCAAAGGAAAAACAGUAAACAGAAACUGUCCCUGAAACAGACUUGAUGGCGGAUCUACUAAACUGUCUUAAAGAUGCCAAAAGAACUAAAAAAAGAUGAAGAAAGUCAAAACGGAAAUACCAAUAAAAAGGUAGAAGAGCUAAAAAGAAACCUAAAACAAAGUCUGGAGCUGAAAAACGCAGUAACUAAAAUGAAAACUUCACUGGAAGUAUUCAAAGGGAGAUUUGAGCAAGUAGAAGAAUGAAUUAACAAAUUUGAAGGCAAAAUAAUGGAAAUUUUUGAAUCUGAGAAAUAGAAAAACAAUUUAAGAAAAGUAAACAGAUCCUAAGAGACUUAUGGGACACCAUUGUAGCAGGCCAGGUUUCCAUUAGCAACCAGAACAGUUUCCACUAACCCUUUACUAUAAUUAUGAAGUCAUAAGUUAAACAUUAGAGAACUGGAGAAACCGGUGCCUGAGUAUGAGGGCUGGAAUGAGAAAACAAACCCAUUAAGAUCCCGCCUGGGUUUUCUCAAACCCUAAAGUCUGAUCGAACAAUAAAAGCAUUCUUACACCUACACCUCAUACCAGGGCUCACUUAAGAUUAAGAAACUUUCAGCUGGGCGUGGUGGCUCACACCCGUAGUCCUAGCACGUUGGAAGGCCAAGGCGGGCAGGCAGAUCACCUGAGGUCAGGAAUUCAAGACCAGCCCCGCUGUAGUAGAGAAACCCCAUCUCUACCAAAAAUACAAAAAUUAGCCAAGUGUUGUGGUGUGUCCGGAAUGAGUGGGUUCUUGGUCUCGCUGCCUUCAAGAAUAAAGCCGCAGACCUUCAGGGAAUCUUGCAAGCCCAUUGAUGCCACGUCGGUAGGUUGAAAUUCACCGUAAGUACUUACAGCAUGGAAAUUAGUUAAUACUACAAAUUGGGUCUUUUCUUCUCCUUUUCAGAAAGCUAGUUGCUAAAUAUUUACCACCACAUCACUGCUCAGCUCACAUCCAUGACUGCAUGGGGGUCUAUAAUGACUAGUUGAUGUAAGAGGAAGAAGCCUGAGCUUGAUUCACAAAUGGCUCAACUUGGUAUGUUGGUGCAAGCUAGAUAUAGAUGAUGGCUGUACAACUCAGGAUACAACUCAGGCUGUACAACUGAGUGGGGGAAGCCCCACUCAGGAUAGUCUUGAAAGGUAGUGGCAAGGGGAAAUCCUCCCAGCAAGUAGUAUUCCAGGAAGUCCACAUGGUCAGCCAUUUUGUGUGGAAAGAGAAGUGGCCUGCAGUUAGAUAGACACACAGGGACUCAUGGGCAGUGUGAUAUAUCUUGG
rnacentral:lncRNA from 10 species